UACAGAGGUCUCAAGCGUUGUUCGGAUUCAUUGGGCGUAAAGGGUGCGUAGGCGGCGCGGUAAGUCGGGUGUGAAAUCUCGGGGCUUAACUCCGAAACUGCAUUCGAUACUGCCGUGCUUGAGGACUGGAGAGGAGACUGGAAUUUACGGUGUAGCGGUGAAAUGCGUAGAUAUCGUAAGGAAGACCAGUGGCGAAGGCGGGUCUCUGGACGAGUUC
rnacentral:rRNA from 1 species